rnacentral:rRNA from 1 species
GUCUCAGUAUAAGCUUUUGAUUUGUGAAACUGCAAAUGGCUCAUUAAAACAGUUAUAAUGCAUUUGACAAUUGCUCCUACAUGGAUAUCUGUGGAAAUUCUAUAGUUAAUACAUGCACUGAAAACCUAUCUUGGGGGAAAGGUUGUGGUCGUUGGUUGCAGAACCAAUUCAAGCAUUGCUUGUAUAUUUGAUUGAAUCGCAAUGACAAAAUGAAUUACAUGGCAACAGCUGGUAAUAAUUCAUGCCAGUUUCUGACCUAUCAGCUUUCGACGGUAAGGUAUUGGCUUACCGUGGCAAUGACAGGUGACGGAGGAUUAGGGUUUGAUUCCGGAGAGGGAGCUUGAGAAAUGGCUACCACAUCUAAGGAAGGCAGCAGGCGCGCAAAUUACCCAAUCCUGGCACAGGGAGGUAGUGACAAGAAAUAACAAUACAAGGCAUCCAUGUCUUGUAC